rnacentral:lncRNA from 1 species
GGAGCCUGGAAUGGUUUCUUAGGGUAGGAGUGGGCAAACCACAGUCUGCCACCUGUUUUUGUAACUAGAAUUUGCUUGGGACACAGCCAUUCAUUUACAGAUUGCCUUUGGCUGAUUUUCUGCUAUAAUGGUAAAUUUUGGUAGUGGUGACAGAGACUAUCGACUCACCAACCUUAAAAUCUUUACCGUGUGGCCCUUAACAGAAAAAGUUUGCUGACCUCAAGACUUUGUGACUUAAAGCAACAGACAUUUGUUGUCUCAUAGCUCCUGUGGGUCAGGAAUCCAGGUGUGGCUUGACUGGGUCCACUGGCUGGAGGAAUGCAAUCAAGGUGUCCGCUGGGGCUGCAGUCAUCUCUAGGUUCCACUGGAGGAGGAUGUGCUUUCAGGCUCCCUCACAGGCUGGUGGCAGGCCUCACGUCCUCCCUGGCUGCUGGCUGGAGGCUUCAGUUCCUCUCCAUGUGAGCUUCUCCAAGGGGCUACUUACAGCGUAGCAGCUGGCUUCCCUUAGAGUGAAGCUUGGAGGGCAUGAACGUGAGAAACAGAGAGAGCCCAGAACAGAACCCACUAUCUAUGUCCUACUCUAAAAGUGACUUCUCACUAAUUUUGCCAUGUUCUAUUUGCUAGAAAUGAGUCUUAGGUUUAGCCCGUGCACAAGGGGAGAGGGUUACCCAAGACACAGAUAUCAGGAGAUGGAGAUCUUUGAGAGCGGUAUUGAAAGUUCCCUGCCACAAGGAGUCACUCAGGUUCCAGGGUGUUCUUUUUCAAAGAAUCCACACAUAUUGUAAGUCAUCCUACAUAAAAUCCGUGUUUACGAUAUAAACCUCGAUUUCAGUCCACCGUAGAGUGAGUUAUUGGCAUUUGAAUAAGAAGCAGAUGAUUGACACGUCUCUGUGCGCUAUGAAGUUAUGCACCAUAAAGUCUAGCAUGGGCUCAUCAGUUCCUUGACAAACGGUGACGUCGUUUGGAGGUAAAUAUUUCCACAAUGUCUUGAAAUUUUCCAAAGCCAAAGACAGA